rnacentral:lncRNA from 1 species
UCAAAAUAUAUCUCUGCAAGGGAGCUAGCACCCCGGGGAGAUUAGAGAGUUUGGAUUGGUCCUCUGCCUCGUGUGGAUAUCCGUAGAGGCCGGACGCGUGUGCGGCUUCAAGUGAACCUUCCAACAAAUACCACGAUCAUCAGAUUGCGGUGAAUAUCUACCCGCACAAGGUGAAGAUCUGAUCUUCCUAAUAUUAUGUAAAAGUAUUUAAUCCUAAUCUAUCUACGAACGACGGUUUUAAAAUAUGUUCAUGCGAUGAACGGAAUCUCGCGCAUGUCUUCCGCUGCGCGCAGAAUUUUUCUGAAAUUUUCUGCGGCGUGCGAGGGAUUCCAACA